ACCUUUAGCUAAACCAGUAUUAAAGGCAACGCCUGCCCAGUGAAUAAUUAAACGGCCGCGGUACCCUAACCGUGCAAAGGUAGCGUAAUCAUUUGUCUAUUAAUUGUAGACCUGUAUGAAAGGCAUAAUGAGGGUUUAACUGUCUCUUUUAGUAAAUCAAUUAAACUGAUCUCCUAGUCCAAAAGCUAGGAUACCAACAUAAGACCAGAAGACCCUGUGAAACUUUAACUAAAAUAUUAAAGCCUAUAAUAACUACUUUAGGUUGGGGCGACCUUGGAAAAUAAAAGAACUUCCAUACACAUAUUAUACAAUAAUAUAUCACCGGCUAACAAGCCUACAACGACCCAGCACAGCUGAUAAUUGAACCAAGCUACUCCAGGGAUAACAGCGCUAUCUUCUUCAAGAGCCCAUAUCAAAAAGAAGGUUUACGACCUCGAUGUUGGAUCAGGACAUCCUAAUGGUGCAACCGCUAUUAAGGGUUCGUUUGUUCAACGAUUAAUAGUCCUACGUGAUCUG
rnacentral:rRNA from 1 species